rnacentral:rRNA from 1 species
UACGUAGGGCGCAAGCGUUGUCCGGAAUUAUUGGGCGUAAAGAGCUCGUAGGCGGUUUGUCGCGUCUGCUGUGAAAACCUAAGGCUCAACCUUGGGCUUGCAGUGGGUACGGGCAGACUAGAGUGUGGUAGGGGAGACUGGAAUUCCUGGUGUAGCGGUGGAAUGCGCAGAUAUCAGGAGGAACACCGAUGGCGAAGGCAGGUCUCUGGGCCACUACUGACGCUGAGAAGCGAAAGCAUGGGGAGCGAACAGG